rnacentral:rRNA from 1 species
CCUACGGGAGGCAGCAGUGAGGAAUAUUGGUCAAUGGCCGGAAGGCUGAACCAGCCAUGCCGCGUGAAGGUCAGUGCCCUAUGGGCGUUAAACUUCUUUUGUGCGGGAGCAAUAAUGGUCACGUGUGGCCAGACGAGAGUACCGUACGAAUAAGCAUCGGCUAACUCCGUGCCAGCAGCCGCGGUAAUACGGGGGGUGCAAGCGUUAUCCGGAUUUAUUGGGUUUAAAGGGUGCGUAGGCUGUGAGGUAAGUCAGCGGGGAAAUGCCCCCGCUCAACGGGGUGAAGGGCCAUUGAUACUGCCUUGCUGGAAUGCGGAUGCGGUGGGAGGAAUGUGUGGUGUAGCGGUGAAAUGCAUAGAUAUCACACAGAACACCGAUUGCGAAGGCAUCUCACGAAUCCGCGAUUGACGCUGAUGCACGAAAGCGUGGGUAUCAAACAGGAUUAGAUACCCUAGUAGUC